CCUACGGGGGGCAGCAGUGAGGAAUAUUGGUCAAUGGACGAGAGUCUGAACCAGCCAAGUAGCGUGAAGGAUGACUGCCCUAUGGGUUGUAAACUUCUUUUAUAUGGGAGUAAAAUGUUCCACGUGUGGGAUUUUGUAUGUACCAUAUGAAUAAGGAUCGGCUAACUACGUGCCAGGAGCCGCGGUAAUACGGAGGAUCCGAGCGUUAUCCGGAUUUGUUGGGGUUAAAGGGAGCGUAGGGGGAUUGUUAAGUCAGUUGUGAAAGUUUGCGGCUCAACCGUACAAUGGCAGUUGAAACUGGCAGUCUUGAGUACAGUAGAGGUGGGCGGAAUUCGUGGUGUAGCGGUGAAAUGCUUAGAUAUCACGAAGAACUCCGAUUGCGAAGGCAGUUCACUGGACUGCAACUGACACUGAGGCUCGAAAGUGUGGGUAUCAAACAGGAUUAGAUACCCGAGUAGUC
rnacentral:rRNA from 1 species